rnacentral:rRNA from 1 species
UUAAGUGGUAAAGGAUGUGGGAUUGCACAGACAACCAGGAUGUUGGCUUAGAAGCAGCCACUCAUUCAAAGAGUGCGUAAUAGCUCACUGGUCGAGUGAUCCUGCGCCGAAGAUUUCCGGGGCUAAAACUUACUACCGAAGCUACGGCAUCAGUAAUGAUGGGUAGGGGAGCUUCCCAUACGGGUUGAAGCAUGACCGUAAGGACAUGUGGACAGUAUGGGAGUGAGAAUGUUGGCAUGAGUAGCGAGAUGUGGGUGAGAAUCCCACAGGCCGUAAACCCAAGGUUUCCAGGGGAAGGUUCGUCCGCCCUGGGUUAGUCGGGACCUAAGCUGAGGCCGAAAGGCGUAGGUGAUGGACAACAGGUUGAUAUUCCUGUACUACCGAUAACCGUUUGAGAGAAGGGAUGACACAGUAGGAUAAGCUAAGCACACUGUUGGUUAUGUGUGCCCAAGCAUUGAGGCAGUCAAAGUAGGCAAAUCCGCUUUGAUAAUGCUGGGAUGUGAUGGGGAGCGAAAUUUAGUAGCGAAGUAGCUGAUUUCACACUGUCAAGAAAAGUCUCUAUCGAGGUUAAAGGUACCCGUACCGCAAACCGACACAGGUGGGUGAGGAGAGUAUCCUAAGGCCAGCGAGAGAACUGUUGUUAAGGAACUCGGCAAAAUGACCCCGUAACUUAGGGAUAAGGGGUGCCACCAUCAGGUGGCCGCAGAGAAUAGGCCCAAGCGACUGUUUACCAAAAACAUAGGUUUCUGCUAAGUCGCAAGACGAUGUAUAGGAGCUGACGCCUGCCCGGUGCUGGAAGGUUAAGGGGAUCUGUUAGAGCAAUCGAAGCAGUGAACUUAAGCCCCAGUAAACGGCGGCCGUAACUAUAACGGUCCUAAGGUAGCGAAAUUCCUUGUCGGGUAAGUUCCGACCCGCACGAAAGGCGUAACGAUUUGGGCACUGUCUCAACAACAGACUCGGUGAAAUUGUAAUUCCGGUGAAGAUGCCGGAUACCUGCGACAGGACGGAAAGACCCCAUGGAGCUUUACUGUAGCUUGACAUUGGGUCUUGGUACUACAUGUACAGGAUAGGUGGGAGGCUUUGAAACCAGGACGCCAGUUUUGGCGGAGCCAUCCUUGGGAUACCACCCUUGUAGUACUGGGACUCUAACCAUAGGCCAUGAAUCUGGUCUUGGGACACUGUCAGGUGGGCAGUUUGACUGGGGCGGUCGCCUCCCAAAAGGUAACGGAGGCGCUCAAAGGUUCUCUCAGUACGGUCGGAAAUCGUACGUAGAGUGUAAAGGCAAAAGAGAGCUUGAUUGCAAGACAUACAGGUCGAGCAAGGAUGAA